UUGUCGAUACCUGUCAGCACGGGUGAGGGGUAUUUGGGUUUGGUUCCGGAUUAGGGAGCCUGACCCAGAUGGCUACUACGUCCAAGGAUGUGUCAGCAGGCGCGGAACUUGCCGAAUCCUUUUGGGAGGCAGUUAGCAAGCGUUGGGUUUGUUUGGAAUUGCAAAGAGAUUCCUUGAGAUUGGAGGGCAAGUCGGGUGCCAGCAGCCGCGGUAAUACCUGCUCCAAGAGUGUCUAUGGUGGAUGCUGCAGUUAAAAGGUUCGUAGUUGUGUUGCUUGCGCAUGUUUUGUGUGCCUGUGUGUGUGGCGGGCUGUGGAUGUGUGCGGCGAUGUGCGCAACAGACGGGGGGCACUGGAUAGUUGGGCGAGAGGUGAAAUGCGACGACCCUGACUGGACAGACGGAGGCGAAGGCGGUGCUCUUGGAUGGAUGUGAGGAUCAAGAACGAAGGCUGGAGGAUCGAAAUCGAUUAGAUACCGUUUUAGUUCCACCAGUAAACGAUGCCGACUGGAUGGUGUGUGUUGCACUGUGCGCGAGAAAUCUGUGAGUGUGAGGGCUCUGGGGAUAGUAUGA
rnacentral:rRNA from 1 species